UGAAACGAGCAACGUUCGUUUCAAAAGAGAAACGAUAAGUUUCUGUAGGUGAGGUGUUCGAUUCGAGCAGUGCAAUCUCGUUGAUCGUGUAUAAGGUAAUAAUGUGGGUGAUUAGUUCGUAGAGUAAUGCCAACCUGAAAUAUUAGUACUAAAAUUAAGGAAUCCGGAAAUAUGACGUAAAUGGAAUAAGUACUAAAAAAGAAAUGAUAGGUUUCGUGAAGUGAAGAAAUAGCACUCUCGGUCUUUUCCUUUUAGACAGCCGAGUGAUAAGGUUUAAAAAAAAAAAAAGUUUUAAGUGAGAAAGUGCGAUCUAGCAGUAUUAUUAAGUAAUUAAAGAAAAAAAUAUGCAAGUGUUAAGUGAUUCUAAAACCAAAUUUAAUUAUUUCCAGAGGUGAUUUUAUUUCUAAUUUCUGGAUCGCAAUUAGUGAGUCGAACCGUGUAGCGAAAAUAGAGCGAUUCGAGUAAGUUAAUAACCUUAAAAGUGAAGAAGCAAAAUCUUAAGUAAUUCCUUUAAAACAGAAGUCGGAGAAGUUAUUCAAGAAAUUAUAUCGCGUAAUCAGUGUGCAAAUAUCGAGCAAGAAGAGAGUGCCCACGUGCCGGCGGAGUGCCGAAGUCUUUGGGGUUGGUGUCGGAUAGGCAUCGGAUCGGCAUCGCUCGUUCGUCGAAUCCGAAACAUUUGAGGGCUAGUGACGGAAGCAUUGGGAACCUGCCUAGGUGCGCACUAUAGCCUUGUGGCUGCGCGCCGCGAUAGUCCACCUGGAGAGCGUCGGCCAGCGGUAAAAAUCUCGGCCUCGCAUUCUCACGCUCCUCCCAGGAGGUUCAGCGAGUGGUCUAGAAGGGAAAGGAUCGCCACGCCAGCGAGGUUACC